rnacentral:rRNA from 1 species
GAUGAACGCUAGCGGCAGGCUUAACACAUGCAAGUCGAGGGGUAUCACGCUUUCGGGCGUGAGAGACCGGCGCACGGGUGCGUAACGCGUAUGCAAUCUACCUUUUGCAGAGGGAUAGCCCAGAGAAAUUUGGAUUAAUACCUCAUAGUAUAGAACAAUCGCAUGAUUGAGCUAUUAAAGUCACAACGGCAAAAGAUGAGCAUGCGUCCCAUUAGUUAGUUGGUAAGGUAACGGCUUACCAAGACUACGAUGGGUAGGGGUCCUGAGAGGGAGAUCCCCCCACACUGGUACUGAGACACGGACCAGACUCCUACGGGAGGCAGCAGUGAGGAAUAUUGCACAAUGGACGAAAGUCUGAUGCAGCAACGCCGCGUGGAGGAUGACACAUUUCGGUGCGUAAACUCCUUUUAAACUGGGAAGAAAGAAGCCUAUGCGUAGGAAGUUGACGGUACCAGUUGAAUAAGCCAACGGCUAACUACGUGCCAGCAGCCG